CCCUAGUGGAGGAGCUGACUGUAGGAAAACCACAAGCAAGGGUACAGGAUAGCUGCCCUGCCAUUUAAAAGAAGUAAAAAAACAAGUGGAGGCUGGGGAGGAGGCAAACUGUGAUGUAGAGUGAGGACAAAUGGCUUGAGAAAUACUGAUUUCACCAGAAGGAAUUGUAGACAUCAUUCGAGAGAAUCGUGGACCCAAGCGAGGAGGCGAUCGCUGUUGUCUGUGGAUUGUUUUGCACAGGGAAAAAAAGAAGGAAAAAAAGAAGAAAACGCGGAGAAGAUCCAUUUGGACGCACAAUUGGCUUAAUAGACGUGGCCACUACAGACUGAUGAUGCAACUCGAGUCGAGAUUCAAAGGAACUGCAAGACUGCACCUGCAGCCCUCAGCUCUCAUUAUUUGUCCAUCGAGGUCAAGGGCCCUGAUGCUUGGAGAAACACAAGGUAACAGAACGUUGAAACUUGACUGCUGUCCAGGCUAG